rnacentral:rRNA from 1 species
AUUGAACGCUGGCGGCAGGCCUAACACAUGCAAGCCGAACGAGUGGCGGACGGGAGAGUAAUGCCCGGGAAACUGCCAGAUGGAGGGGGAUACCUAUUGGUAACGGUAGCUAAUACUGCAUACCACUGGAAGUGCCCAGAUGGGAUUAGCUAGUCGGUGGGGUAAAGGCUCACCUGGGCGAGGAAGCCUAGCUGGUCUGAGAGGAGAACCAGCAACGCUGGAAUUAGGACACGGUCCAGAAUCCUACGGGACGCAGCAGUGAGGAAUAUUGCACAAAGGGCUCAAGCCUGAGGCAGCCAUGCCUCAAGUAUGAAGAGAGCCUUCGGGUUGGAAAGUACUUUCAGCGGGGAGGCGUUACCCGCAGAAGAAACACCAGCUAACUCCGUGCCAGCAGCCGCGGUAAUAC